rnacentral:rRNA from 1 species
GACGAACGCUGGCGGCGUGCUUAACACAUGCAAGUCGAACGGAAAGGCCCUGCUUUUGUGGGGUGCUCGAGUGGCGAACGGGUGAGUAACACGUGAGUAACCUGCCCUUGACUUUGGGAUAACUUCAGGAAACUGGGGCUAAUACCGGAUAGGAGCUCCUGCUGCAUGGUGGGGGUUGGAAAGUUUCGGCGGUUGGGGAUGGACUCGCGGCUUAUCAGCUUGUUGGUGGGGUAGUGGCUUACCAAGGCUUUGACGGGUAGCCGGCCUGAGAGGGUGACCGGCGACAUGGGGACUGAGAUACGGCCCAGACUGCAACGGGAGGCAGCAGUGGGGAAUAUUGCACAAUGGGCGGAAGCCUGAUGCAGCAACGCCGCGUGCGGGAUGACGGCCUUCGGGUUGAAAACCGCUUUCGCCUGUGACGAAGCGGGAGUGACGGUAAUGGGUAAAGAAGCACCGGCUAACUACGUG